AUAAAUAUAUUUUAAAACAUAUCUAAACAUAAUUAAAAAUAUAAUUCAAAAUAAGCUUUACCUACCUUGUACCACCACUAUAAAUACAAACAUUCAAAUACCCUUCCAUAUCCUUAUCAUCAAAUUAGUGAUAUCAUCUCCCCUUUGAACUAAACAAUCACUACACAAAUAAUAAAUAACUCCCUCUCUCUCUCUCUCUCUCUCUCUCUCUCUCUCUGAAACCAACCUGUUUUGGGUCUUGACCAAAAAAAGAAAAGCUCAACGACCAGUCAAUCGAUCUAACUAUGCUGCAGUUGUUCUUCGCGGUGGCCUUCUCGGCGGUGCCUUUGACUCUCUACGUUCCGCCCAUUCGAUCUCUAAACUUAUUCGUGGAGACCAUGGAGGAUGUAUUACGCCAGACAUCCUUGUACACCGUCAGGGCUUAUCCUAGGAUUCGUCUUGUGUUUUCUCGUUUCUUUCGCAAUCUCUUUAACUUGUCCAGUGUUACAAACGGUAUCUAAUUCGGUCCAAGAGGACAGGUGGGGCUGAAAGGGAAAUUGCAGCAUUCAUGUGCUAGGAAACAAGCAUCAAUAAAAGAAAGAAUAUAAAUCAUAUAUUUGGCACUUUUCUGGAUGCGUUUUGUAGUGGUUGGUAAGCAGGGAGGAAUAUUGCCUGUUUACUGUGAGGCAUGUAGUUGGAUUUUGUGGCCUCGUAUUCUGGGAUUUGAUCAAUCAAAGAGAUCUCUUUAUGCAAACGAAAAACGAAAUGCAUGUAUUGCAACCUUUAAAGUUUAAAGGGAUUACGAGGUCAAGGAGGAUGGAGAUUUCAUGA